rnacentral:rRNA from 1 species
GUGCCAGCCGCCGCGGUAAUACGGGGGGGGCAAGCGUUGUUCGGAAUUACUGGGCGUAAAGGGCUCGUAGGCGGCCAACUAAGUCGGAUGUGAAAUCCCCAGGCUCAACCUGGGAACUGCAUCCGAUACUGGAUGGCUUGAAUUCGGGAGAGGGAUGCAGAAUUCCAGGUGUAGCGGUGAAAUGCGUAGAUAUCUGGAGGAAUACCGGUGGCGAAGGCGGCAUCCUGGACCGACAUUGACGCUGAGGAGCGAAAGCUAGGGGAGCAAACGGGAUUAGAAACCCUAGUAGUCC